GAUGCUCCAUCGAGAAAUCAGACAGCUGUAAAUAAAUACCUGCCUGUGUCCUAUUCGGUUGAUCUUGCCAAUGGACUGACUAAAGAACUCUCCCUUGCUGAAAAGGAUUAAAAGUGAUAAACCUUUUUUGGAAACACUCUAAGAGAUACACCUAUAGGUGGGUUUCCACAGUCGACAAUGAAAGCAGCAACGCCAAGUCGCUGGAGGUGUGUGCCAACUUCAUGGGGCACAAAGGAAGAGGUCUUCUAUGAAGCACUAGUGCGCAUGCCUGGCAAAAACGCUCAGCGUCACUACACGGAGAACACCUCGUGGAGAAGGUUCUAAGAAGUGGGGUCCUUUCCGGAAGAGCAUCCACAAGCCAUUCAACAGUUCACAUAGUCCUUCUGAGAUUGCUAAACAGGUU